UAUCUCUGUAGAGUCUGCAUAUCAAUAAGCGGAGGAAAAGAAACUAACUAGGAUUCCCUCAGUAACGGCGAGUGAAGCGGGAAGAGCUCAAAUUUGAAAUCUUCAAGGUUCUACCUUGACGAAUUGUAGUUUAAAGAAGUGUUUUCUGUUGGAGUUUUGGUAAAAGUUCUUUGGAAUAGGACAUCAUAGAGGGUGAGAAUCCCGUAUUUGACCAUUAUUUCCAGCUUUGUGAUACACUUUCAAAGAGUCGGAUUGUUUGGGAAUGCAGUCCAAAAUGGGUGGUAAAUUUCAUCUAAAGCUAAAUACUGGCGAGAGACCGAUAGCGAACAAGUACCGUGAGGGAAAGAUGAAAAGAACUUUGAAAAGAGAGUUAAACAGUACGUGAAAUUGUCAAAAGGGAAGCGUUUGACACCAGUGUUGUUUUCUCGAAAAUCAAUUAAAAAAGGCAGGAUUUUGUGUUGUAUUGACUUUAUCAGCUUUCUGCACUCUUUCCUUGUCUUUUUUAAUGCACUUUUCGUUUAACAAGUCAACAUCAAUUUCUUUUGUUGUAAAAGAGUCAUUGGAAGGUGGCUUUCACUUUCGGAUGAAAGUGUUUAUAGCCUUUGGCUUCUGCAAUCGGAGAGAUUGAGGUCUGCAGCGUAGAUCCUUCGGGGCUAGAUACAUUUGUGCUAAGUUAUAGCCUUUCAUAGACAACUUGUUGACUAUGAUCAGUCAUGUAGCUUACUCGCUUAUGCUAUUUUACCUACGCUUAGGAUGUUGACGAUCAGCUGAGCGCG
rnacentral:rRNA from 1 species